GGUUUCCUUGUUCUGCCUUCCUAUUGUGAUGGGUGAGUGCUUUUGCUUAGGCUUGUAGGCCAGGGCUCUUGUUAGCUCUGCUGCCUGCUCCUCUUACAUACAACUUUUGGGGAUGAUAGCCUUUAAUUUUCUACAGCACUUCAAAAUAGAUUCUUUCUGUGGUCUGCAUUAGAACUUUUUUUAACAUCCAUAUAGGAAUUUUAUGCCCAUUAAAAUUCCUAUAUGCCAGGUGCAGUGGCUCACUGCACCUAUAGGCCAGGUGCAGUGGCUCACAGCCGUAAUCCCAAUACUUUGGGAGACUGAAGUGGGAGGAUUCCUUGAGCCCAGGAGCUUGAGACUGGCCAGGACAAUAUAGUGAGACCUUAUCUGUACAAAAAACAAUAAUAAAUAACAAAAUUAGCCAGCCAUUAUGGCAUGAGCCUGUAGUCCCAGAUACUCAAGAGGCUGAGUAUUGUUG
rnacentral:lncRNA from 1 species